rnacentral:lncRNA from 1 species
GAGCUGAGCUCCUUGAUGAGAACAUUGAACUGAUCACGCCUCUUCUUUUCAGACUUGUUACGCGAAGCCCUCUUUGCCCUGUCUUUCUCAUCUUCAUCCAUUAGAUUGUCUAAGCAGUUUUUCCUGGGCUGCCGGUGCUGCGGGAGCGCGGCGGGGAAGCCCCAGCCGCCGCCGCCGCCGCCGCUGCUGCUGUCCGCGGUGGCCACCUGGGUGCCGGUGCCGCCGGGCUGGAUGCCGCCGCUUCUCCGCUGCCUGCCGGUGCCGCUGCGGCAGCGGCCGCCGCUGCUCCAGGCGCGCAGGAGGCCGGGCUCGGGAGCCGGCAAACUCUUGGUCGCCGCCGAGGAGCCGGGGACGCCGCCCGCCUCGCGCCCGAUGCCGGGGCCGGUGCCGUGUCUCAUGGUGCGCGGGGCCGCCGCAUGCCGCGCUGCCGCCGCCG